AGGCAGCAGUAAGGAAUCUUCCGCAAUGGACGGAAGUCUGACGGAGCGACGCCGCUUGGAGGAGGAAGCCCUUCGGGGUGUAAACUCCUGAACUGGGGACGAAAGCCCUGUGUAGGGGGAUGACGGUACCCAGGUAAUAGCGCCGGCCAACUCCGUGCCAGCAGCCGCGGUAAUACGGAGGGCGCGAGCGUUACCCGGAUUUACUGGGCGUAAAGGGCGUGUAGGCGGCCUGGGGCGUCCCAUGUGAAAGGCCACGGCUCAACCGUGGAGGAGCGUGGGAUACGCUCAGGCUAGAGGGUGGGAGAGGGUGGUGGAAUUCCCGGAGUAGCGGUGAAAUGCGCAGAUACCGGGAGGAACGCCGAUGGCGAAGGCAGCCACCUGGUCCACUUCUGACGCUGAGGCGCGAAAGCGUGGGGAUCAAACAGGAUUAGAUACCCUAGUAGUCC
rnacentral:rRNA from 1 species